AGCGAACGCUGGCGGCAGGCCUAACACAUGCAAGUCGAACGAACCUUUCGGGGUUAGUGGCGGACGGGUGAGUAACACGUGGGAACGUGCCUUUAGGUUCGGAAUAACUCAGGGAAACUUAUGCUAAUACCGAAUGUGCCCUUCGGGGGAAAGAUUAAUCGCCUUUAGAGCGGCCCGCGUCUGAUUAGCUAGUUGGUUGAGGUAAUGGCUCACCAAGGCGACGAUCAGUAGCUGGUCUGAGAGGAUGAUCAGCCACAUUGGGACUGAGACACGGCCCAAACUCCUACGGGAGGCAGCAGUGGGGAAUCUUGCGCAAUGGGCGAAAGCCUGACGCAGCCAUGCCGCGUGAAUGAUGAAGGUCUUAGGAUUGUAAAAUUCUUUCACCGGGGACGAUAAUGACGGUACCCGGAGAAGAAGCCCCGGCUAACUUCGUG
rnacentral:rRNA from 1 species